rnacentral:tRNA from 6 species
GCGGGAAUAGCUCAGUGGUAGAGCGCGACCUUGCCAUGGUCGAUGUCGCGAGUUCGACUCUCGUUUCCCGCUCCA